rnacentral:tRNA from 4 species
GGCGAGUUACCCAAGCGGCCAAAGGGAUCUGACUGUAAAUCAGACGGCGUAGCCUUCGUGAGUUCGAACCUCGCACUCGCCACGA